GGACUACUGGGGUAUCUAAUCCUGUUUGAUCCCCACGCUUUCGUGUAUGAGUGUCAGUAUAGGACCAGGUCGCCGCCUUCGCCACCGGUGUUCCUCCUGAUAUCUACGUAUUUCACCACUACACCAGGAAUUCCACGACCCUCUUCCAUACUCAAGUUUGGUAGUUUUGAAUGCACUUCCCAAGUUAAGCUCGGGGCUUUCACAUCCAACUUACCAAACCACCUGCACACGCUUUACGCCCAAUGAUUCCGAACAACGCUUGGACCCCCCGUCUUACCGCGGCUGCUGGCAC
rnacentral:rRNA from 1 species